CGAGAGUGAGUUCUCAUCUUCUCUUUCACGUGAACACGAGUGAGGAAAGGUGCAAACCACACCUCUACGAAUCCUCACUGCUGUGUAGCUCCUCUCUGUCAAUUCCAGGUUUUAUGUCCUUCCCCUUGCUGUGUCCAUCACCGAUUUGCUCGUCCUUCCUCUAACACUAGUCCCGUUCUUAGGUUUUCCCAGGCUUAUUUGUUCAGAUUAAUGUUAUCAAAAAAUCCCUCUUUCAAUUUGGUUCAUUUUUCUUUCUCCAUUAAUUGAUUUUAAUUCCAUCCCCUUUUUUCUUCUUGAUUUGGUUUUAGUUUACUCUUUCAUUUUGUUUUUGUUCUUGUCAAGAACACAUGACAAAAAAGGGUAAAGCAAAAUCCAGUCCAGCAAGACGCACCGGUACCAUUGUGAAGACUUGCCGCUGCAAUGCACUGCACCUCCAUUCUGCUGGGUCUUUCUUAUCUGUUGUUAAACAAACUGGUGGUGCUUGACGAAUUAUAAUCGACUCCUGCUUUCCAUAUCCUCCCUCUGUUAAACAAACUGUUAAGCAAAAUCUCUAUACUUUUGAUCAAGCAAUUCAGGUAAAAUUCUGAUGUUUGUGUUGAAUAAUAAUAUAAUAUAUUGUGUACAUAUCUUCCUUUUGUUUUGCUUCUUUUUGUAUUAUAAUGAAUAAAGAAUACAUUUAAGAGGCAUUGAUGGGAGAACUUGCUUUUAGUUUUUAUUAUAUAUUAAAAUUCAAGGGUUGCA